rnacentral:hammerhead_ribozyme from 1 species
AUCCAAUAGAAGAUUCCAAAAUAGGACGAGGCGCGCGUCCUGGAU